GACGGAGGAUGCAAGCGUUAUCCGGAAUGAUUGGGCGUAAAGCGUCUGCAGGUGGCAGUUCAAGUCUGCUGUCAAAGACCGGGGCUUAACUUCGGAAAGGCAGUGGAAACUGAACAGCUAGAGUAUGGUAGGGGCAGAGGGAAUUCCUGGUGUAGCGGUGAAAUGCGUGAGAGAUCAGGAAGAACAUCGGUGGCGAAGGCGCUCUGCUGGACCAUAACUGACACUCAGGGACGAAAGCUAGGGGAGCGAAUGGG
rnacentral:rRNA from 1 species